rnacentral:rRNA from 1 species
GAUGAACGCUGGCGGCGUGCCUAAUACAUGCAAGUCGAGCGAACAGAUGAGGAGCUUGCUCCACUGACGUUAGCGGCGGACGGGUGAGUAACACGUGGAUAACCUGCCUAUAAGACUGGGAUAACUUCGGGAAACCGGAGCUAAUACCGGAUAAUAUAUUUAACCACAUGGUUCAAUAGUGAAAGACGGUUUUGCUGUCACUUAUAGAUGGAUCCCGGUCGCAUUAGCUGGUUGGUAAGGUAACGGUUUACCAAGGCAAGGAUGCGUAGCGGCCCUGAGAGGGGGACCGGCAACACUGGAACGGGACACCGCCCCAGACUCCUCCGGGAGGCACCAUUAGGGAACCUUCGGCAAUGGCGGAAAGCCUGACGGAGCAACGCCGCGUGAGUGAUGAAGGUUUUCGGUUGGUAAAACCUGGUUAUUAGGGAGGAACAAAUGUGGAAGUAACUAUUCACCACUUGACGGUACCUAAUCAGAAAGCCACGGCUAACUACGUG